GGGGGAAGUAUCAGAGUGGCAUGAAGUGUUUUCAGCGUACCUCGUAUUGCUGGACAUGAUGUCUUAAGUUCAAGACUGUAGAUCCACAGAGCAAUGGGCAAUGUUGGCCGCAAUCGCGAGGAAGAGUCUUGCGGUACCUUAAAGAUCAGCAGACUGUGCUCUGCCAAUUUCCUGCUCACACUGACUAUCUGCAGGGAACCCAAGCAAAUGGCUAGCAGGAAGGUCACUUGCAUCCUUUUCUUUGUUUUCGUGGAACCAUUGCCUAAUGUAAAUACAGGUAAAACUAUGAAUUUAUUCUCUCACUGUGAUUCAUUGAACAAUGGCAAGCUCUUCUGAUGCUGUUGUGUAAGUCACAAUUUUUACAACUUACUCAGGGGAAAAAAUAUUAUUUGUAUUAUUCUUCCUCCCACCAACUACAACUGAAUAAACAGAACUGUCCUUUUAAGUAAUAGCUGUCUUCUAUCAAGCAACCCCCAGUGUUUCUACAUAUGGUUCUGCUAAACUGGGUAUACAAAAACCUGUUGCAUGCAUGGACAUCCAUUCAUCUUAUUUGUUUCCCCAUGAGGCAAGCAUGAGACAAUGUAGAAGUAGGCAUGGCUUUUCUUGCUGUUGGUCUCUAUUUUGCAAAUGGUACUUUAAAAAAGAGCAAUUACAAAUACAUGUUUAUUUGGAAGUAAGUACCACUGAGGUCAAUGUGGCUUUCUCCCAGGUAAGUGUGCAUAGGUGUGUCUUUAACAUAGUGGUGCACCAAGUAUUAUUUUGUCAAAUUGAAUUUUGUUGAAUAGUGUAUUAAUGUUAUACUCAUGUUAGUUUGCACUGCCUGCAGCCAGGAGAAUGAAACUGAUUGAUAAUGUUCAAAUUUUCCUUAAAAAACCCAACCAGUUUCUGUAAAGGCUGACCCAAGUGAAAAUGUUGCAAGUAAAAGCUUAAUGGGUAUUAAAUAAACCAUUUAGCAUUGUUAAUAGGUGUAAACUAACAUGACAAUAAUGGAUUUGCUAAUUUAUAGUCAUAAUACCCAACGAUGCCCAACUAGGCUCCUUUUGUCUAUAACUGGAGUGGCAAAAUUCCCUAUUUGCUUUGAACAGGGUAAUACUAGAGUCUUAUGAUAAUAUUUUAUUUUCCUUAUUUUCCCCAAGUUCAAGUUUGGAAAGAUACACAUUAUUUCAGCCCCCACUAUUUUAUGUUAGUUUUAUUUUAAAAGAAGUAAAAUGGGAACAAUUGGAGGCCCACCUACCAAUUCACCAUACGAAAAGUAUGACCAAGACUAGAUUUGCUGUGAUAAAAUAUGUCAGGUUACAAGUGAAAACUCUAGGUGAGCUAUUUAUUAGGACGCAAUAGCUUCUUAAUCUGUAAAAAAAACACAUACAACUAAUAGACAUCAAAUCAUUUCCUUGGAUUUAGUACCUCCAAAUCUGUAGAAGCCUCUAAGGACAUAUCAUAAUAAUGGGAGUCAUAUUUUUUGCUUUAAUAACUAAAAAGUGUGCUUUGAAGUAAUGUGGUCUCACUGUAAUCUACCAUCAAGCACCUAAACUAACAGAAAAGGUAGAACCAUCACAAUGGAGAUUGUGGAGACGGAAGUGUCUAAUCAGAUAAAUGAAAAUAAAGUUUGGAAAAGGAUUGCAGAGGAGUAACAAGAGAUAUUACUGGUGUGUUUCUUAGUUCAUUGUUGUUUUUCUUUCAGUAAAAGUUCUAUCAGCUGGGGAGACUUGUUCCCUUCUUUGAAGCUAGCUCUUGUUUCUCUGAAGUCAGAUUCCUUAUUCCCAGGGCUCCACUCUGCAAUGCCAGCACAAACAUACAUCAGCAGCAGCUGCACAGCACUUUCCAGAGUUAGCAAGAAGCUAUCAAGCAAUUACUUAUUCCACUUUAGAUCCAUGACCGUGAUUUUACACCACAGGUCUGAGAAAAUCAAAGACAAUGAGUAAAGUCAACAGUCGCAGAAAGCAAGGUCAUGUGGACAAAGAAAUGGACUACACCUGACUGUAUUUAAUUCGAACAGUAAUAUUUGAUAAGAUGCCACACUAUAACCCCAGUGAUAAUGUGUUGAAUAGUUUGGCUCCACCCUGCCUGGGCAGGAUCACCUGAAGUGUAUUGCCUCCUCUGCUUCACGGCAAAGCCAGCUCCGGCAAAAAAUGAAUCUUCAAAAGAGCAACGAAGAGAGCAACUUGAAUGGUGUUUCAUGUUCAUCAUAACAACCACAAUAAUUAAAAAUUGAUGCUGCAACGCACAUUGGAAUGUGGAAAACAAACAGGGGCCAGAAUCAGCUGACCUAAGGUGUACCUAGGCUCCCUUGCGUCCCUCGCAAGCAGCUGUAUCAACACUCCCCAUCUACUGUGCCCUUGAAAAGGAGAUGUAUUUCCUUCCCUGUCCCUUCGCCUGGCUGCCCAGAACAGCGGAGGAGCAGCUCAGGGAGUGUGCAGAUGGACAGGAAGAGGAGGGAGAAGAUGAGAGAGUGCUAGCUAGAAUGGGCAGAAUAAGAUUUCUUCUGGAAAGGAAUUCUGGAUUUGGAAUACUGUGAUAAAAAUUAAAUAACCGCAAAAGAAGAUUCUCAUUGAUUCAUCAUAAAACAGAGAAGAGCCCUUCUAGAUCAAAACCAAAGGACCAUCUAGUCCAGCAGCAUCCUGCUCAUCAUGCUGGCCAACCAGAAAUUUCUUGGAAACCCAAAAGCAGGAUAUGAAGGGGAAAAUAACCAGAUGUCUUCACUAUGUGCCAACUGGGGGCAUGAGAGAGAGAGAGAGAGAGAGAGAGAGAGAGAGAGAUCCACCCCAUCUGUAUCUUGCAGUAAGAGUGAGUAUUCAAGAGAUAAUCAGAUUCAACAGCCCUGGCCAUACUUUUUAAAGGAGGAAGUUUCAGAGACCUCCAAGUUCAAUGCUGGGCAGAUCAUAUUUGGGCAAGUUAUAUUUUAAACAUAUUUGGGUCAGGUCCUGGGUUUUAUACUCCUCAUGUGGCAGGAAGUGAUGGUGGCUGAUCUUAAAAGAAAAUUAUGGGAGCAAAAGCUGUUUUUGAAAGCUUCCACAGUUACAGUGGACAUUUACUUCAAUCUUGUUAAACAUAUUAAUUGAGCUUCCACUGGAAGCUGUGCUCUAAAGUGGCUUACUGUUUCUUUUAAAAGAAAUAUUUCACCAAAGACUUAACUCCAUGUAGACUAUCGUUACCAUUCAAUUUAUAAUUUCAUUUAUCCCAAACGUGCAGAGACUGUCCUUCACACAGCUUAAGGAAGCUUGAAGCAGCAUCUGCAGAGAUACGUUUAUUGUGAAACUGUAAAAGUCCUGAGCACUGCUCAUUGAGCUCAGACAAACAGCUGAAAAUACAGCCUGCCUUUGCAAACUUCAGUGUAUGACAUGGAGAGCUGGCAGACUGCCUGGUUUCUACUUAAAGGAUUGUCAUUCAGGGAAAAAUAAAUUUCUCUAACUAGACAAAAGUCAAUGUUUUCAUGUUUUACUGCAAUCAGACUGAUACGGCUGAUAAUUUAGUCUCAACACUUAUAAUAUCUGCGGCUAAUCAGUUACCUCAAUCAAUCAUAACUACAGGAUUCCUCUAUUUUUUGAGUCUGUAUAAAUAUGACUAAGAUGUUUAACAUUUCAGAUCCCCCUCCCACUAAUAUUUUAUGACAUUUUAUUGAGCAACAGAGAGCUUUUGCAUGUAUUAGCAGAUCCAUUUGGAAACUGCCUUUUUUAAAUACAAAAUUACAACAAGCCUGAAUGUAAUCAGAAGUGCAAACCUUUCUUUUAACAUUCCAUUCCAUUCUAUUUUAAUUUUAUGUAUAUCUUCUAGUCUGUUCGCCUGUCAAGGAGAUGUGGAAAUGUGCUGGCAUUCCAGCUGAAGACAUCAUUAUGAGUGAGAAAAUGCUCAAGGCCUUUUUUCAAAGUGGGUGCUGAAAGAGGCGCUUUCCUUUUUUGACUCCAGGGGAUGCUGAUAGCUACCCCGGCAGACAGGUGAGAUUCAGAUGCAGACCAGGUAGAGCAGUUAAAGUGGAUUUGGCACACUUGAGCUUCCAUAAUCAGCUUCCAAUUUUGGAGGGACUUUUUGUGGUAAGGAGAGUGAUGGGAAAUGCAUUGGAAAGCAUACAAUAGAACUGGCUUGAUGUGAAGCCAUAUAACAUGUGCCACCCCAUCCCCCGGCUCAAAUACAAAUGAAUGCUCAGCAAACAGUUGAUCAAGAUGAGUUCUCACUAAACAGCUCAUCUGGAUACAACCCAAGUGCCAGGCAAGCAUGCUGAGGAAGUGAAAUCUGGAGAAGGAUCUCUGAAUAUUAUCUUAAUCUAUGGACAGGUUUCUGCCGGAGAUGGUGGUCCUCAGCUAGCACUUUGGAAAAAAGCUAGGUGCUAGUAAAAAGUUUUAAAAACCUUGUCAUGAUAUGUUCACAGUCAUCAGAUCCAGUAAACAAUAUGAAUAAUCUGGCCAUGGCAUCCAGUAUCAGUUGUAGCUUCCAGAUGCUGUUCAAGGCUGGCCCCACAGCCAACCCAAGAGUGGAAAUGACAGGUAAGGGGUUCACAAGAUCCCAGCACAUUGCCUCAUUCAGGGUUUAAUGACAGGGUUCUGCACCAUUUAAAGUUUCUGAGUGGUUUUCAAUGCCAGUCCCUCAUAGAGAGUGUUGUUAGAUGUAGAGGAAUUAAAAGUACCAGACAUGUUUUUCAUUCCCCCUGUAUCUGAAGCCACAGAAACUGUAAUCCUAUUAAAUUAAACAUAUGUAUUACAUGUUCAUUUGAAAAUUCUUAUGUUUGAUUUUAUUAAAUGUUCAGCACUGGAUUUAAGCCCCAUUCCCAUAAAUUAAUGGGAGUUGGGGCUGCCAACUUAAUAAAUUAUUUUAAUCAAU